CUCGCAGAGAGAUCCGCAGAACUAAUAAACAGCCGGGCUCUCUCCGCUCACCCUUCGCGCACCGCCCCUCCUAUCCUCUCUCCCCGCCUCCCUCUCCUCGGCGCCGCGUCGCCUCCGGACCCUCUCGCCAUGGCGAGGCCGCCGCAGGAGGCGAUCGACACCUUCGUCAGCAUCACGGGGGCGGACGAGGCCCUGGCCGUCCGCAGGCUCGAGGAACAUGGUGGUGACCUCAAUCGGGCCAUCAACUCUCAUUUCAAUGAAGGAGACAGCGCGCUGAAUGCAAUCAAUCAAAACACUGUAACUGCUAGUCGUGAUGAUAUGAUGGAUGUGGAUGGACCACUUGAUAAUACAUUCCAAAGAUCUUUGUUCCCAGAGAAUUUCCGUGAUCCUUUUGCACUGAUGGAUCCAAAUUUUCAGCAACAAUUUUUCGACAGAAUUGGUGCCACUGAUAGUGUCAGUCUUGGGCCGCUGGUUUCACACCCUAGAGAGGUGAGAGAGAUUCCUAUCGAAGUUAAGGAGGGUGAUCCUCACACAGGUCCAUCUGGUCAGGCCCCUGUUAUUGAGGAUGUUACUGGAAAUGAGUCUUCACUUGGCCCUGAAGUUCAUGAAACUGUCAUAAUUGAUGAUGAGGAUGACAUGUUGCCAUCGGCACUGUCUGCUCCGCAUGCUAAUAUCCCUAGCAACACAUCUUCUGUGCCAACUGCUCCUCCAUUGGUUCAUGUUAAUGAUUAUGAUGAUGACAUAGAAGAGGAAAUGAUUAGGGCAGCAAUUGAAGCUUCAAAGAAGGAUGCUGAAGGACUGGAAAAUAUAGUAGAGCGAGGAGGAGAUCAACAUCCAGAGGGCGUGAACUUGGGAGAGCAUUCUUCUGCAGACAUGGGAACUGCAGAUGGAACAGUUGGAAGGCAAGGACUAGCUUCAGGAAAGGCUGGAACAUCUAGGCAACCCAUAGAUGAAGAGAGCUUGCAAGAGGAUACUGAAGAUGUAGAAGAACAACCGUUGGUUAGACGUCGUUCUAGGCGUGUUCCUUCUGAAAGCACUGAGUUAGCACCAAUGGUGCAACCAGGUCCUAGCCCUGUCCUGAACAAUCGCCAGUCUAAUGGAGAUGAUUUCCCAUCUGAGUGGGGUGGCAUUUCUUCUGAGGAACAUGAUGAAGCUGUUAUGCUUGAGGCUGCAAUGUUUGGUGGAGUUCCUGAAGGACCAACAUAUCCUUUCUCCAUGCCUUCUCACAGAAGCUCAACUUAUUAUCCCCCACUGGCGCAUUCUCCUUCACCAGCAUUAACCGAACAACGGUUAUUACGAGAGCAGCAGGAUGAUGAAUACCUUGCAUCUCUACAAGCUGACCAAGAAAAGGAAUUAAAGGCCUUAGAGGAGGCUGAGCUCCGCCGCCUAGAAGAAACGGUUGCGAGAGAAGCUGCUCUUGAAAAACAGAAGCAGGAGGAGCAGGAAAGGCGUAAAAAGCAACUUGAGGAAGAGGAGCUAGAGUCCAAUCUCGCAUCCAAGCAAGCAUCAUUACCGUCAGAACCACCUCCGGACAUAGAAGGUGCUGUGACAGUUGUGGUUCGCAUGCCUGAUGGUAGUCGACAGGGGCGUCGCUUUCUCAAAACUGAUAAGUUUCAGUUUCUAUUUGACUUCUUAGACAUUGGGAGGACUUUUAAGCCAGGGACCUACAGAUUGGUAAUCCUCUACCAUUGUAUUUUAAUAAAAUUUUGUAUGUAUAUUGAAAAAAACUCUCCAGUUUCGUGCUUUCGCAAGUUAAGGGUUACUUUCAUGAUUAGUCAGGACACUCCGACUUUUGAUCAAUUUCUCAUGCAGGCUUCUGUAGCAUUAAACAUAAGGCUAUAGAUUAAAUCGCAUGGAUUGAAGGGAAAGAUUAGCUGUGCCAACUGAGUGUUUGAUGACCCUGCUCACACUGUUCUUCGUUGUUCGAGAAAAAAAGUGCUUGAUGUCCCUGUAUUUUUGACCUUGUAAUUUUUAUGCUUCUGACACUGAGGUGCUUUGAGUUAGCAGCACCAACAAAUUCAUUUUUUGCACCAUGGAACAUGUUAAACACUAGCCACACAAUGCAGCACCAGAUACUGUUAAUGCUAUUCGGGCUUCUUUGAGCUGCUAGGAGGGGGGAUAGCAUUAUUUGCCAUGCUGCAGUACAGGACAUAGCCUCUGCGGCACUUCAUCCAGGUCAGGACAUACCCGAGGCGCACCUUUACCACCAGCGAGGGUGACGUAUCAUUCAGUGAUCUCGGCCUCACAAGCAAGCAAGAAGCCCUAUUUCUAGAACAGAUCACAGAAUAGUGCCCUGUGUCCUAGGCAUGGUUAGAGAGAGAUGCCAUCUGGACUUGGGAGGUUUUACAUUUUUAUACUUGUGCCUUGUAUCUGUAAAGAUUCAGUCCGUCAAAUGGUUCGGUUGAAGAAAGGUUAAAUUCUUUUGUGGCGACACUUUGCGCCCCAAAUGUUUUACUGUGUUAUAUGUGCCAGCUAAGAAAAGGUUCAUGUCAGAGUAAACCGUGGAGGGCAUAUGGGGCCAGGAUAUGUAUGCAAUGUGAAACCUUGUGCCUGUGCAUUAUCAUUCAUCUCAAAGAGCCCCCCUCUGCAAA